rnacentral:rRNA from 1 species
UACGUAGGUGGCAAGCGUUGUCCGGAUUUACUGGGCGUAAGGAUGACGUAGGCGGACGAUUUUAAGUCAGAUGUGAAAUACCCGAGCUUAACUUAGGUGCUGCAUUUGAAACUGGGUGUCUAGAGUGCAGGAGAGGUAAGUGGAAUUCCUAGUGUAGCGGUGAAAUGCGUAGAGAUUAGGAAGAACACCAGUGGCGAAGGCGACUUACUGGACUGUAACUGACGCUGAGGCAUGAAAGCGUGGGGAGCAAACAGG